GCGGGCGUAGUUUAACGGCAAAAUAUGUCCUUGCCAAGGAUAGGUUGGGGGUUCGAUUCCCCUCGCUCGCUCCA
rnacentral:tRNA from 1 species